rnacentral:tRNA from 1 species
CCUAGCCUAGUGGACAUGGCAUCUUCCCGGUAAGCGGAACACUGUGGGUUCGAUUCCCAUCCCUGGA